rnacentral:rRNA from 1 species
CCCUUAGAUGUUCUGGGCCGCACGCGCGCUACACUGAUGAAUUCAACGAGCUCCUAACCUAGGCCGAAGGGUCCGGGUAAUCUUUGAAAUUUCAUCGUGAUGGGGAUAGAUUAUUGCAAUUAUUAAUCUUCAACGAGGAAUUCCUAGUAAGCGCGAGUCAUCAGCUCGCGUUGAUUACGUCCCUGCCCUUUGUACACACCGCCCGUCGCUCCUACCGAUUGAAUGGUCCGGUGAAAUGUUCGGAUCGCGGCAAAUCGGACGGGUAACCGUCAGGUUCGCUGCGAGAAGUUCAUCAAACCUUAUCAUUUAGAGGAAGGAGAAGUCGUAACA